rnacentral:lncRNA from 1 species
GGAAAACUUCCGAGGGGACAAAAGAGGAGGAAGGCGCGACCCGCGGUUUCCCAGCUAGAAUGCUGGAGAAAGAAAAGGAACGACAAAGACGGAACGGACGGCACCCGCGCUGCCCUGGCGACGCUUCUCAGGUCGCGCGGCUGCGCGCGCCUAAACUCAGCAGCCCCGACCCAGGAUGCAGGAGCGAUCCGCUCGCAGUGCCGCGCGGCCCCGUCCUGCAGCCGGUGCAGGGAGAGCAGCGGCUGCACCGGCUGCAAAAGCCGGCAGUGCCGACUCUGAUAGCUCCCCUUCGCUACAACGUCCACGGCGGGUGGACGGCGGCGAGCAGCCAGCCCUUCCAAUCCGGCCGCAACUUUGCGUUUCUGAGCUCGGUGCCAAAAACCGGCGAGCAGCAGAGCGACAACCCCGAGAGCUGGGGAAUCCAUCUUCAGCCCCGCGAGGGGAAGCCAGCAGCCGCCCGCCUGUCUCCUCAGGUCUCGCUACCCGAGAGCCUCUCAGCCUCUGUGCGCUCCCUUUUUCUCCGCUCAUUUACUCCAUGCAGCAUCCAGACACUCCGGGUGCAGGGGAAACCGAGAGACCCCGCUCGGCGGCCCUGGCGGAGGGAGCCGUUCCGAACAGCGGCGGCAGCGCCCGAGCCGAGCCCUCAGCCCGGCUGCCGCCGCGGCAAUGCACCUCGCGAGCUGCGGCUAGAAGCGGCACCGGGCGCUGGGCACCUCCUUAUAGGCGAGAGCUGCACUCCACCUCCUCCCAACCCCCUGGAAGUCACUCCUCCUCGCCUUCCAGGGAGGAUCCUUAUUGCAAUCUUCACGCGUUGUUGAUAAGCAUCAGAGUCACGGAGUAAAUCAGAUGCCUGGAGGGAAAGAAAAAAAACAUUUUUUUCUCCUCCCUCCCGCCCGGGUAUCGCCGUGGCUGGAACAUUAUUAAAGCGCCCUCAGCUCGGUUGUUUGUUUGCUUACAAAAAAAUAUAUUCAUAUAUCUUAUUGCAUGUAGUGUCAAUACAUCCUCACAGGUACCGGUGCUCAGCAUCACCCCCAGAGCAUCACUGGAUCGUUAAAGUUGGAAAAGGCUUCUAAGACCAUCUAGUUCAACUGGAGCCCCCGACAGGGCUGAUGGGUGCUCCCAGAGCUGGGGACCGAACCAGAGCCACGUGCAAAGUACCGCAGCCUCCCACCCAGCUGGAUUUUGUGGUUGAUGGAUUGACUGAUUAGCCGAGUGCACAGGCUGUAGUUAUCCCCCAGAGGGGUGAGAAGUUGGAGGAUAAAGGAAAGCGGAGUUUAAAACCAUCUUGCUUUCCCCUGUGGUUUGUGUGCAGGCAGCCAGAGCAUGCUUGGAGCAGGACCUUGUGCUGUUUGUAGUCAUCUCCCUGCAUGCUUGCAAACACAGGAUGUAAACAUCCCUUCAGGAACUCCGCUUUAAUCACUGCUGAGAUCUAACCUUGUUGCUUUGCUGCAGCAUCACCUCACAUCAAUAGGUUGCUGCAUCAAAGUCAGGUCAAAACUGCAUUAGUAAUUCCCCUGAUGUGUGUAAGGAGAGUGUAUUUGGGCCAUUAAAGUCCUUGUUGGGUAAAGCUGCUGGUCCACAGCCACAGUCUCCUAUUGAGGAAUAAUUAGAAGUUCAUCUGAGCUGCUGUCUCACCAGUGGAGAGCAGAGAUUUGAAUUGCUGAAAUGCUAUCAGCCUCAUAGUAAUGUAAGGAGGAUGGAGGAAAUUUGUUGUGUUUGAAUGCCCUGGAGAUGUAUGAGGCCAGGUUGGAUGGGGCCCUGGGCAGCCUGAUCUGGUGGGUGGCAGCCACCCCAAAGAAGUGGGCUGGAAAGGUCCCUUCCAUUCUAAGCCAUUCUGUGAUUCCAUGAUUAGGUGCUACACUGAAGAGCGGGAGUCAGGGGAGAGCUCCAAAGCAAGGCUCUUGGCUCUGAAGGAGCAGUCAGCUUGGGAAGCAAAAGC